AUAAUCUGAGGUGAUGGGGCUCGCCUUAACUGCCAUCUGGAAAUUGACAUGACAACCAGAAGGCUGAUGGCUCCUACUGUUCC
rnacentral:ncRNA from 2 species